rnacentral:rRNA from 1 species
CAAUAGCGUAUAUUUAAGUUGCUGCAGUUAAAAAGCUCGUAGUUGGAUUUCGGGUGGGAAUGGCCGGUCCGCCGUUUCGGUGUGCACUUGCUACGCCCACCUUGCUGCCGGGGACGUGCUCUUGAGUUCACGCUCGGAACACGGAGUCGGCGAGGUUACUUUGAGUAAAUUAGAGUGUUCAAAGCAGGCCUACGCUCUGAAUACAUUAGCAUGGAAUAACACGAUAGGACUCUGGCCUAUCUUGUUGGUCUGUAGGACCGGAGUAAUGAUUAAGAGGGACAGUCGGGGGCAUUCGUAUUUCAUUGUCAGAGGUGAAAUUCUUGGAUUUAUGAAAGACGAACUACUGCGAAAGCAUUUGCCAAGGAUGUUUUCAUUAA